AGGGGAGUGGCAGACGGGUGAGUAACGCGUGGGAACAUACCCUUUCCUGCGGAAUAGCUCCGGGAAACUGGAAUUAAUACCGCAUACGCCCUACGGGGGAAAGAUUUAUCGGGGAAGGAUUGGCCCGCGUUGGAUUAGCUAGUUGGUGGGGUAAAGGCCUACCAAGGCGACGAUCCAUAGCUGGUCUGAGAGGAUGAUCAGCCACAUUGGGACUGAGACACGGCCCAAACUCCUACGGGAGGCAGCAGUGGGGAAUAUUGGACAAUGGGCGCAAGCCUGAUCCAGCCAUGCCGCGUGAGUGAUGAAGGCCUUAGGGUUGUAAAGCUCUUUCACCGAUGAAGAUAAUGACGGUAGUCGGAGAAGAAGCCCCGGCUAACUUCGUGCCAGCAGCCGCGGUAAUACGAAGGGGGCUAGCGUUGUUCGGAAUUACUGGGCGUARAGCGCACGUAGGCGGAUAUUUAAGUCAGGGGUGAAAUCCCGCAGCUCAACUGCGGAACUGCCUUUGAUACUGGGUAUCUUGAGUAUGGAAGAGGUAAGUGGAAUUCCGAGUGUAGAGGUGAAAUUCGUAGAUAUUCGGAGGAACACCAGUGGCGAAGGCGGCUUACUGGUCCAUUACUGACGCUGAGGUGCGAAA
rnacentral:rRNA from 1 species